rnacentral:rRNA from 1 species
AUUGAACGCUGGCGGAAUGCUUUACACAUGCAAGUCGAACGGCAGCACGGACUUCGGUCUGGUGGCGAGUGGCGAACGGGUGAGUAAUGUAUCGGAACGUGCCCAGUCGUGGGGGAUAACGUAGUGGAAAUUACGCUAAUACCGCAUACGAUCUAUGGAUGAAAGCGGGGGAUCGCAAGACCUCGCGCGUUUGGAGCGGCCGAUAUCAGAUUAGGUAGUUGGUGGGGUAAAGGCCCACCAAGCCAACGAUCUGUAGCUGGUCUGAGAGGACGACCAGCCAAACUGGAACUAGGACACGGUCCAGACUCCUACGGGAGGCAGCAGUGGGGAAUUUUGGACAAUGGGCGAAAGCCUGAUCCAGCCAUUCCGCGUGCAGGAUGAAGGCCCUCGGGUUGUAAACUGCUUUUGUACAGAACGAAAAGGUUUCUACUAAUACUAGGAGCUCAUGACGGUACUGUAAGAAUAAGCACCGGCUAACUACGUGCCAGCCGCCGCCGUAA